AAUCCAUGGUUAGGACAUUUCCUAAGCAAGGACUAAAAAUGUUUCCAGGCUUCAUAGAAUGCUUCAUCCUGACCUUGUCUAAAAGUGGAGAUAUCUAAUUUUGCACU